rnacentral:lncRNA from 1 species
UCCUUAACACCAACCAUGCCACCUUCGAGUCUCAAACAACCCCAACCACUCAAAAUCCCAAAUCUAAGACUUAUUGAGGUCUUAGGACUUCAGGAACCCCCCCUGAGCGUCGAAAUUGAUUAAACACUGUACUGGGCGUUUCAAAACCCCUGUGGGAGAAUCAAGGUCCAGCUAGAUGGUUUAAAUGAGAGCAAAAAAAAUGGUUUAGAUCCUGUAGUUGCAUGUGUAAUAGUCUGAACUUCUUUUGGAUUCUCUCUUGAUGGCUUGUUUGUUUAUCCACAAGCUUAUUUGAAAAUGGUUUCUAUAUUCAUAUGACUUUUUGUCACCUCUCUGAUAGCCUUUCUUGGGAAAUGCUGAUAUCUUGCUAAGUGCUGGUCCCCUGAUUUUAGAAAGAAAUUUUGUUUAGUCUUCAGUAAUAUGAUUUUAGGGCUUAAUUGACUUCUUUCUGUUGAUUUUUCUUUAAUUUCUGAUAUGCCUAGUUGGCUCAUGUUCCUAAGGUUUUGAUUCAUAAG